rnacentral:rRNA from 1 species
CCUACGGGUGGCAGCAGUGGGGAAUAUUGGACAAUGGGCGAAAGCCUGAUCCAGCCAUGCCGCGUGUGUGAAGAAGGCCUUCGGGUUGUAAAGCACUUUCAGUGGGGAAGAAAGCCUUGGGGCUAAUACCCUCGAGGAAGGACAUCACCCACAGAAGAAGCACCGGCUAACUCCGUGCCAGCAGCCGCGGUAAUACGGAGGGUGCGAGCGUUAAUCGGAAUUACUGGGCGUAAAGCGCGCGUAGGCGGUCUGAUAAGCCGGUUGUGAAAGCCCCGGGCUCAACCUGGGAACGGCAUCCGGAACUGUCAGGCUAGAGUGCAGGAGAGGAAGGUAGAAUUCCCGGUGUAGCGGUGAAAUGCGGAGAGAUCGGGAGGAAUACCAGUGGCGAAGGCGGCCUUCUGGACUGACACUGACGCUGAGGUGCGAAAGCGUGGGUAGCAAACAGGAUUAGAUACCCGUGUAGUC